AUUGAACGCUGGCGGCAGGCCUAACACAUGCAAGUCGAGCGCCCCGCAAGGGGAGCGGCGGACGGGUGAGUAACGCGUGGGAACGUACCCUUUGCUACGGAAUAGCCUCGGGAAACUGGGAGUAAUACCGUAUGUGCCCUUCGGGGAAAGAUUUAUCGGCAAAGGAUCGGCCCGCGUUGGAUUAGGUAGUUGGUGGGGUAAUGGCCUACCAAGCCGACGAUCCAUAGCUGGUUUGAGAGGAUGAUCAGCCACACUGGGACUGAGACACGGCCCAGACUCCUACGGGAGGCAGCAGUGGGGAAUCUUAGACAAUGGGCGCAAGCCUGAUCUAGCCAUGCCGCGUGAGCGAUGAAGGCCUUAGGGUUGUAAAGCUCUUUCAGUGGGGAAGAUAAUGACUGUACCCACAGAAGAAGCCCCGGCUAACUCCGUG
rnacentral:rRNA from 1 species